rnacentral:lncRNA from 1 species
AUCUCCUUCCCUACACGUGGGCAAGCUGUUUUGAAAACAGUCACCAUUUUUCUCUAGCAAUAAGGCAGCUCAGGAAUCCCGGCGCAGAUUGGAGAACUAGGACUAGGACAGCGCUACCCUCGCGAAAGCACCUCGGCCAACAGCCUGAUGGCAAAUAUGGACUGAAUCGUUGACAUGGAAACCGGACUAAAGUCUCGCUAGCUCUCCCUCACAGGAGAGUUCUUAUCGCCGUCCCCGACCGCACGGCACUUAGCAAACGCGGACUGGAUUUGAGGCCUGGAGGAUCAGGCGGAGUUUCUGGGCGUAUUAACUCCAGCGGCAGAGCAGCCAAGGAAGGGGGCAGGGCUGCCAGGACAAACCGGCUGAAAAUGGCAGAGGAUGUGCUCCCAUUUUAUCCGGCUGCACAGCGUGCAUGGAUUGGGCCCGAGGACAAGGGAACAACCUAUUAAAAUCCAGAGAGUCAACUGCAAAAUGUGGAACCGAGGCCUGGAGGGUUUGCUAGGAGAGGGAAACGUUUGCAGGGAAGACAGCCCUUCCUUUCUCGCAAUUUGCUUCCCCUAAAUGUCUGAAAUACAAAACUCAACAAACAAACAGAAGAUCGGGCUCGGCUCCUUCCUCCACCCAAUCCUUGUGGGAGAAGUCGUCUUAAGCCCAGGGACCCUAGCGAGGGUUUGCUUAGAUUCCUAACUAAGGCGUGGAGAAUCGCUGGAGCGCCAGGUUGUUGCCCCCACACGUUCCCGCCGCGGAACAGCAGCAGACACCCAGCAGAGCUCUCUCGAGUGCGAACUGGAGCUGCGAGUUUGAGCAAAAGGGCAACUAUGUCAGUUGACGGAAGCCAGAAGCAGAGUUCAAAGCCUGGCGUGGAUUUCCGUCUGGAGCUGUCUGUUCUUAAAGUUUGUAACUCCGUGUUAAGAAACAGCCCCAGCGGAGGCUUUGGGAUCGGUGUGAAAGUCUAGCACUACCAUCUGACAGCGAGCUGCAAAACUUUGGGCUGCAUAUUAAGCGAGGAAAGUGGAUUGAAGCGAGAGUCAAGGCAAUUCAUUAUGUUACCGGCUCCCAUACGGGAGCUGUAAAAUACGAACUGGAUGCACACACGGAGAAAAAUGGAAUGAACUCGGAAUGGCAUUCAACAGCUCUUCGCGGUAAAACUGUGACUGCCAAGGAUCUAGAAUCCCAAAGGAGCAAACCAGGAGGCCUCAAACUUGGUUGGCAC